rnacentral:rRNA from 1 species
AUUGAACGCUGGCGGCAGGCUUAACACAUGCAAGUCGAGCGGGGUGAUGGUGCUUGCACUAUCACUUAGCGGCGGACGGGUGAGUAAUGCUUAGGAAUCUGCCUAUUAGUGGGGGACAACAUCUCGAAAGGGAUGCUAAUACCGAAUACGUCCUACGGGAGAAAGCAGGGGAUCACUUGUGACCUCGCGCUAAUAGAUGAGCCUAAGUCGGAUUAGCUAGUUGGUGGGGUAAAGGCCUACCAAGGCGACGAUCUGUAGCGGGUCUGAGAGGAUGAUCCGCCACACUGGGACUGGGACACGGCCCAGACUCCUACGGGAGGCAGCAGUGGGGAAUAUUGGACAAUGGGGGGAACCCUGAUCCAGCCAUGCCGCGUGUGUGAAGAAGGCCUUAUGGUUGUAAAGCACUUUAAGCGAGGAGGAGGCUCUUUUGGUUAAUACCCAAGAUGAGUGGACGUUACUCGCAGAAUAAGCACCGGCUAACUCUGUGCCAGCCGCCGCAGUAA